CAAAUUAAGAUGGCUGAUCACAAGGUCUCUCUUAUCCUCGUUAUUGUCCUCUUAAUUUCGGUCCAGAUGGGAGCUGCCUGCAGCAGGGAAACUAGGGAAAUCAUCAUGACCGUUGUGGCAGAAGAAAAGGAAAGACACUGCAAAGAGUACUUCCAUGUGAGUAAACCCCGGGGCCCUCCUCAUUGCUCACCACGGGACCCACCAUCCGCUGGACCAAGCCCACCGAGAAGGCGAUGCCCCUCCCCCCCGGCAGAGACUCGAGGCUGAAGCGUACUAUUAUCGUGCAUGAUCUUUGUUUUCUUACAUUGUUUCUUGGUGGUGGUGAUUGUUAUUGUGUAUUUUGCAGCUGAUCAUCCCAAUUUAAAAAGGCUCUGAAAAUAAGCUCUUCUUUUUAAAAAUGCAAUGGACAAUAAAUUAUUCAAAUCCACAUGAUUGUUUGAAAUUGAAAACGA